ACGGUAACAGGAAGCAGCUUGCUGCUUCGCUGACGAGUGGCGGACGGGUGAGUAAUGUCUGGGAAACUGCCUGAUGGAGGGGGAUAACUACUGGAAACGGUAGCUAAUACCGCAUAACGUCGCAAGACCAAAGAGGGGGACCUUCGGGCCUCUUGCCAUCGGAUGUGCCCAGAUGGGAUUAGCUAGUAGGUGGGGUAACGGCUCACCUAGGCGACGAUCCCUAGCUGGUCUGAGAGGAUGACCAGCCACACUGGAACUGAGACACGGUCCAGACUCCUACGGGAGGCAGCAGUGGGGAAUAUUGCACAAUGGGCGCAAGCCUGAUGCAGCCAUGCCGCGUGUAUGAAGAAGGCCUUCGGGUUGUAAAGUACUUUCAGCGGGGAGGAAGGCGACAGGGUUAAUAACCCUGUCGAUUGACGUUACCCGCAGAAGAAGCACCGGCUAACUCCGUGCCAGCAGCCGCGGUAAUACGGAGGGUGCAAGCGUUAAUCGGAAUUACUGGGCGUAAAGCGCACGCAGGCGGUCUGUCAAGUCGGAUGUGAAAUCCCCGGGCUCAACCUGGGAACUGCAUUCGAAACUGGCAGGCUAGAGUCUUGUAGAGGGGGGUAGAAUUCCAGGUGUAGCGGUGAAAUGCGUAGAGAUCUGGAGGAAUACCGGUGGCGAACGCGGCCCCCUGCACAAAGACUGACGCUCAGGUGCGAAGCGUGGGGAGCAAAC
rnacentral:rRNA from 1 species